UCGAUUUGAUCAAUAAUGUCCAAUCGUGACUAAAAAGAAAUCAGUAAUCGACUGGAUAUGUCUUUGUGAACCUUGUUCUGUCCAUGCUGUAUUGCUCUGUGUAGCCUUCCGGUAACAUGAACAACCGAUCUUUUGUACAAAAGUGAGCAAGAAUACAAUCAUUUUAAGCAACAGAAGGAGAUUAUUAGGUCCAUGAGGAAGCAGGCAAAUACAUAUAAUCGCAGAGGUAUUACACAUAAGGUUUGUGAGAGGCUAACAUUCACAUCGUCACUCGACGAGCUACUGAUACAAACAUUGGAUGGAGCACAUGGCAGCUAGCCUCGUUCGCUUAAGCAGCAACCUCCUUGAUCU
rnacentral:lncRNA from 1 species